AUGAAAAAUUCUCAAAACAUCAACUGUAAAAAAAAAAAAAAAAAGAACUUUACCAUGAAUGCUUGUCUUCCACCUUUGACAUCAGCAUUUCCACCAGCAUCAUUUCCAGAAGAGUAGUCACUUGGUCCAGUAGGAAUGUUAUAAUUUGGAGUCUCCCCAGGUCCAGGUAAAGGUGUUUGAAUCGGAGUUUGCAACGGCGUCUGAGGAAAAAGUAUUUCAGCAGUAGGAGUU
rnacentral:lncRNA from 1 species